rnacentral:rRNA from 1 species
UACGGAAGGGGCAAGCGUUGCUCGGAAUCACUGGGCGUAAAGCGCACGUAGGCGGAUCUUUAAGUCAGGGGUGAAAUCCCAAGGCUCAACCUUGGAACUGCCUUUGAUACUGGUAGUCUCGAGUCCGGAAGAGGUGAGUGGAAUUCCGAGUGUAGAGGUGAAAUUCGUAGAUAUUCGGAGGAACACCAGUGGCGAAGGCGGCUCACUGGUCCGGUACUGACGCUGAGGUGCGAAAGCGUGGGGAGCAAACAGG